UACGUAGGGGGGCUAGCGUUGUCCGGAAUCAUUGGGCGUAAAGCGCGUGUAGGCGGCUCGGUAAGUCCGCUGUGAAAGUCGGGGGGCUCAACCUCGGAUGCCGGUGGAUACUGUCGGGCUAGAGUACGGAAGAGGCGAGUGGAAUUCCCAGUGUAGAGGUGAAAUUCGUAGAUAUUGGGAAGAACACCGGUGGCGAAGGCGGCGACCUGGUCUUUUACUGAGCUGAGGCGCGAAAGCGUGGGGAGCAAACAGG
rnacentral:rRNA from 1 species